rnacentral:snRNA from 1 species
AUAAAUAAAUAGAUAAAUAAAUAAAUAAAUUGGAAUGAUACAGAGAAGAUUAGCAUGGCCUCUGCACAAGUGAAGAGCAAGGAAACCCCCCUUUUU